CCCACAAACCAUGACAUCGUGACCUGAGCUGAAGAUGGACUCUCAACGACUGAGCCACCCAGCAUUUCAACACCAAAACCAGUCUUAAAUCGGUGCCAAAUGAAUCUACCAGCCACAAGGCAGAGAGAGAAGUUGUCACAGUUUUUUCCUGUACCGUUCCCUAUUCAUUUGCUUCUUAAUCCAAGUGAAAUACUUGAAAGAGCAGCAUCAUAUGAAGUUCAAUUCUGCAUACUUUGGAUUGCUAUUUGUUUCUGACCAUGUGCUUAAAAUUAUUGUGAUGUAGUAUUAAAACAAAAAGUUGCCAUUUAUGCGAAUGAUGGCCUGUCAUAUACCAGACAGUGCAAUUAAAUGUAGUAGACACAGCCAAGUCUCUGGGGAGCAAUGAUAAAUUUCAGGGCAAAGGUUAGUGUGAGCCAUUUAUGCAUCAGGAAGGACAGAGGCACUAGACAUUUAUCAGUUCAAAGC